GUGCCAGCCGCCGCGGUAAUACGUAGGGUGCAAGCGUUAAUCGGAAUUACUGGGCGUAAAGCGUGCGCAGGCGGUGAUGUAAGACAGAUGUGAAAUCCCCGGGCUCAACCUGGGAACUGCAUUUGUGACUGCAUCGCUGGAGUGCGGCAGAGGGGGAUGGAAUUCCGCGUGUAGCAGUGAAAUGCGUAGAUAUGCGGAGGACACCGAUGGCGAAGGCAAUCCCUGGGCCUGCACUGACGCUCAUGCACGAA
rnacentral:rRNA from 1 species